CAUUUGGAAGGUGUAGAAAUCUAAUCACAUUUUCUGCCUCAAGGGACUGAGCAGCUCCCAAUAAGAUUUUCCUGAGUGUGUCUCUGCAGCAGCUGGUGGGAGUGACAUGACUGGUGAGACUGAGACAGCCUGGGGCUCAGAGCAGAUGGUAGUCUGAAAGGGACAGAAUGAGAGAGGGAGCUGGAGAAAGAAAUGAAUAAACACGAAUGCAUCUGGAGAAUGAGGCAUCUUGGAAUCUGGAAGGUGAGGCAUCCUGGAAGAGAGAUGAAGGUUCAAGCUCCAAGAUGUCCAGAACCAAACGCGAAGAAGAAUUACUGAAAUGGAUAUAUGCAAAACUCGUCAAGAUUCUCAUUUGGCUACAGCAAAUUAUUUGGCGAGUUGAAAGUUUAGUUGUGUUAAUGAUAUGCUACACCUUCUAUACCUGUAAUGUGCCAAAAAUAACUGAACACUUUAGAUUUCUCUUUAAAUCCAGUAAUAAUCCAUUAAAGAGAUAAAGGUGCCAAUGUGCAGGCAAGUAAACCACAUUGCCAAGUAUACAAGCUAAUACAUUUCCCAGGAUGGAUUUAGAGUUUCCUAUUUUAAGCAAAAUUUACAGAAAGUUAAAUGCACAAAUCUUCAGUGCACAAUUACACGAGUUUAGCAACUAUAUACAUCCAUGUAAACAACACUAUCAUGAUGAAGAACAUUUUUAUCACCCAGGAAAUUACUUCAUGUCCCCUUCCAGUCAAUCCACUCUCCACAGGAAACAACUAGGGUUCUGAUUUUUAUCAUUAUGUACUAGAACUUCACAUCUUAGGAAAUCAUAUAGUGCUGUCUCAUUUGUUUCUUGCUAGUUUAGGCAGUAUCAUUUUUUUGAAAUCCAUUCAUAUUGUUCCAUGUUAUCAGUAAUUUGUUACCUUGAUGUAGCUGAGGAGUAUUCCAUUAUAUGAAUAUACCACAACUUAUGUACCCAUUGUACUCUUGACAUUGGCUAUUGUUAGUAAAGCUUUUGGCUAUUUACUAGUAAAGCUGCUAUAAACAUGCUCAAGUCUUGUUGUAGAAACAUUUUCAUUUCUCGUAGGUAAAUAGUUAAGGAUGGAAUUUCUGAGUCACAACAGAGGUAUAUGCUUAACUUUAUGAAAAUCAUCAAGCUGUUUUCCAAACUGGAUGCUCCAUUACCUACUUCUCUGAGUAAGAUCUGGGAGUUCCACUUACUCCACAUCCUCACCAACAUUUGUUGUUGCCACAACGAAGUGGUGCAAUAGUUUAUUUUUAUUUUCAUUUACAUUUCUCUGAUGAUUAAUGAUAUCAAGCACAUUUUCAUGUGCAGUUCACCAUUUUUUUUAAAUGUCCAAAACUUUCAUUCAGUUGUAAAAAAAAACAACAGUAUCUUUUUAUUAAUGGUUUUCUCUUGUUCUGGGUGAAGUUCAUCAUCGAAUAUAUAUUGCUAAUAUUUUUUCCCACAUUACAGCUAAACUUUUAAUUUUCUUUUGAUGAGCAGAGAAUUUUUGUUGUUUUAUUUUUGUGAAAUCCGAUUUAUUGCUUUUUUGCAGCUAGUGUUUUUUCUUUCAUCUCUAUAAAAUCUUGCCUAGCCUAAGAUCGUAAUAUAGUCUUCUGUGUUUUUUUCUUCAUAAAACCUUUACAGCUUUAGCUUUUAUAAUUGAAUCUAUAAUUUAUCUACAUUAAUUUUGUGAAUAUUGUUAAUUGUGGCUAAGAUUCAUUAUUUCCAUGGUUAUCUAGUUAUUCCAGCAUUGUUUGUUCAAAAAGACUUUCCAUUGAAGUGUCUUUGAGCUUUUAUUGAAAUUAACUGACUAUGUGUGUACUGAUUUCUUUCUGAGCUUUACUUUGUCCCAGUGAUCAGCUUGUAUACCCUUAUGCUAAUGCAAUACUAUCUUGAUUAUUGUGGCUUGCUGCAGGUCUUGAUAUAAAGUAAUAUAAUUUAUCUGAAUUUGUUCUUUUUCAAGAUAGCUUUGGAAGUUCUUUAUUUCUUGUAUUUUCAUAUAAAUUUUAGAAUAAACUUGUCUAUUUCCACCAAAACAAUGCAAAUUUCAUUUAGUUUGUAAUUAGGUCUAAUCAAACCAUAUUAAAUCUUCCAGUUCAUUAACAUGUUCUCUAUCUUCAUAAACUUAGGUCUUCUUUAAAUCUCUGAGGAAUAUGUUAGAAUGUUUAGCAGAGUUUCUGUAUCUUUUUGGGUAGUGCAGAGGGGGGCAUAAAGAGAGAAUGGUUAAUGGGUACAAAAAUACAGUUAAAAAGAAUAAGAUCUAGCAUUCAGUAGUACAAUAGCACAACCAUAGUUAAUAAUUUAUGGUAUAUUUCAAAAUAACUAAAAGGGUGGAAUUGAAAUGUUCCUAACACAAAGAAAUGAUAAAUAUUUGAGGUGAUGGCUACCCUAAUUUGAUCAUUACACGUUGUAUGCUUGUAUCAAAAUAUCACAUGUACCCCAUAAAUGUGUAUAACUAUUAUGUAUCCAUAAUUAAAAUUUAUUAAAUAUAUAUGGUCUGUUUAUGCUUUAUAAAUGGUAUAUUUACAUUUUCCAAAUGCUUGCAGCUAAAUAGAAAUACAACUUUUUAUUUUUUAUUGAUGUUAUAUCAAUCAUUGCCAUAGGCUACCUGUAAUAUGUCAGAAACUCUAUUAAAGAUUCUACAUUUCAAUAUUUUAUGGCAAUCUAUUUAAGAGAAAAGGAAACUGAGGCAGAAAUAAAUGAAUUAUACAUUCAAGAACAUAAAUCUACAAUGUUUAAACUGCUCUGCUUACGUCAUAAUAUGGAGCACCUUGAGUAUCACAUCCUUGAGGGCAUGGGCCUACCAGUCAGUGAGUUUCCCUGGUAGGUCUUUCAGCAGGGAAAUAUAAGGAUGUUUUAAGAAACAUAUACAGAUGGAGGUGGGAAAAAUGAAAUGGAUGGGGCGAUGAGAUUCAGACUGCAUGUUGUCAAAUAUCUCACAUACUGCCAGCCACCUCCAAUUCAACCCCAUUUCUUUAAGUUUGCUAGGAGUGAAGUUUCAUGCUGCCACUUUGGAAAACAGUCUGGUAGUUGUUCAGUGAUAAAACAUAGAAUUAUCGUAUGACCUAGCAGUUUCAGUGCUAAGUACACACUCAAGAGAAAUGAAAAUAUAUGUCCACACAAAAACCUGCAUGUGAAUAGUUAUUGGAGCAUUACUUACAAUAGUCAAAAGGUGAAAACAACCUAACUGUUCAUGAACUGAUAAAUGGAUAAGAAAAAUGCAAUGCAUCUAUUUAAACGAAACUAUUUGUCUAUGAAAGGAAUGAAGUAUGAUCCAUGCAACGUGAAUGAACCUUGAAUAUAUUAUUAUGCUAAGUGAAAAGCCAGUCACAAGAAGACCACAUAUCAUGUAAUUCC